GGUUAAGCGACUAAGCGUACACGGUGGAUGCCCUGGCAGUCAGAGGCGAUGAAGGACGUGCUAAUCUGCGAAAAGCGUCGGUAAGGUGAUAUGAACCGUUACAGCCGGCGAUGUCCGAAUGGGGAAACCCAGUGCAAUUCGUUGCACUAUCGUUAACUGAAUACAUAGGUUAACGAAGCGAACCGGGGGAACUGAAACAUCUAAGUACCCCGAGGAAAAGAAAUCAACCGAGAUUCCCCCAGUAGCGGCGAGCGAACGGGGAGCAGCCCAGAGUCUGAAUCAGCUUGUGUGUUAGUGGAACGGUCUGGAAAGUCCGACGGUACAGGGUGAUAGUCCCGUACACCAAAAUGCACAGGCUGUGAACUCGAAGAGUAGGGCGGGACACGUGGUAUCCUGUCUGAAUAUGGGGGGACCAUCCUCCAAGGCUAAAUACUCCUGACUGACCGAUAGUGAACCAGUACCGUGAGGGAAAGGCGAAAAGAACCCCGGCGAGGGGAGUGAAAAAGAACCUGAAACCGUGUACGUACAAGCAGUGGGAGCACCUUCGGGUGUGACUGCGUACCUUUUGUAUAAUGGGUCAGCGACUUAUAUUCUGUAGCAAGGUUAACCGUAUAGGGGAGCCGCAGGGAAACCGAGUCUUAACUGGGCGUUAAGUUGCAGGGUAUAGACCCGAAACCCGGUGAUCUAGCCAUGGGCAGGUUGAAGGUUGGGUAACACUAACUGGAGGACCGAACCGACUAAUGUUGAAAAAUUAGCGGAUGACUUGUGGCUGGGGGUGAAAGGCCAAUCAAACCGGGAGAUAGCUGGUUCUCCCCGAAAGCUAUUUAGGUAGCGCCUCGUGAACUCAUCUUCGGGGGUAGAGCACUGUUUCGGCUAGGGGGUCAUCCCGACUUACCAACCCGAUGCAAACUACGAAUACCGAAGAAUGUUAUCACGGGAGACACACGGCGGGUGCUAACGUCCGUCGUGAAGAGGGAAACAACCCAGACCGCCAGCUAAGGUCCCAAAGUCAUGGUUAAGUGGGAAACGAUGUGGGAAGGCACAGACAGCCAGGAUGUUGGCUUAGAAGCAGCCAUCAUUUAAAGAAAGCGUAAUAGCUCACUGGUCGAGUCGGCCUGCGCGGAAGAUGUAACGGGGCUAAACCAUGCACCGAAGCUGCGGCAGCGACACUAUGUGUUGUUGGGUAGGGGAGCGUUCUGUAAGCCUGCGAAGGUGACCUGUGAGGGUUGCUGGAGGUAUCAGAAGUGCGAAUGCUGACAUAAGUAACGAUAAAGCGGGUGAAAAGCCCGCUCGCCGGAAGACCAAGGGUUCCUGUCCAACGUUAAUCGGGGCAGGGUGAGUCGACCCCUAAGGCGAGGCCGAAAGGCGUAGUCGAUGGGAAACAGGUUAAUAUUCCUGUACUUGGUGUUACUGCGAAGGGGGGACGGAGAAGGCUAUGUUAGCCGGGCGACGGUUGUCCCGGUUUAAGCAUGUAGGCUGGUUAUCCAGGCAAAUCCGGAUAAUCAAGGCUGAGGUGUGAUGACGAGGCACUACGGUGCUGAAGUAACAAAUGCCCUGCUUCCAGGAAAAGCCUCUAAGCAUCAGGUAACAUCAAAUCGUACCCCAAACCGACACAGGUGGUCAGGUAGAGAAUACCAAGGCGCUUGAGAGAACUCGGGUGAAGGAACUAGGCAAAAUGGUGCCGUAACUUCGGGAGAAGGCACGCUGGUGUGUAGGUGAAGUCCCUGCGGAUGGAGCUGAGACCAGUCGAAGAUACCAGCUGGCUGCAACUGUUUAUUAAAAACACAGCACUGUGCAAACACGAAAGUGGACGUAUACGGUGUGACGCCUGCCCGGUGCCGGAAGGUUAAUUGAUGGGGUUAUCCGUAAGGAGAAGCUCUUGAUCGAAGCCCCGGUAAACGGCGGCCGUAACUAUAACGGUCCUAAGGUAGCGAAAUUCCUUGUCGGGUAAGUUCCGACCUGCACGAAUGGCGUAAUGAUGGCCAGGCUGUCUCCACCCGAGACUCAGUGAAAUUGAACUCGCUGUGAAGAUGCAGUGUACCCGCGGCAAGACGGAAAGACCCCGUGAACCUUUACUAUAGCUUGACACUGAACAUUGAGCCUUGAUGUGUAGGAUAGGUGGGAGGCUUUGAAGCGUGGACGCCAGUCUGCGUGGAGCCAACCUUGAAAUACCACCCUUUAAUGUUUGAUGUUCUAACGUUGGCCCCUUACCGGGGUUGCGGACAGUGUCUGGUGGGUAGUUUGACUGGGGCGGUCUCCUCCCAAAGCGUAACGGAGGAGCACGAAGGUUAGCUAAUCCUGGUCGGACAUCAGGAGGUUAGUGCAAUGGCAUAAGCUAGCUUGACUGCGAGCGUGACGGCGCGAGCAGGUGCGAAAGCAGGUCAUAGUGAUCCGGUGGUUCUGAAUGGAAGGGCCAUCGCUCAACGGAUAAAAGGUACUCCGGGGAUAACAGGCUGAUACCGCCCAAGAGUUCAUAUCGACGGCGGUGUUUGGCACCUCGAUGUCGGCUCAUCACAUCCUGGGGCUGAAGUAGGUCCCAAGGGUAUGGCUGUUCGCCAUUUAAAGUGGUACGCGAGCUGGGUUUAGAACGUCGUGAGACAGUUCGGUCCCUAUCUGCCGUGGGCGCUGGAGAAUUGAGGGGGGCUGCUCCUAGUACGAGAGGACCGGAGUGGACGCAUCACUGGUGUUCGGGUUGUCAUGCCAAUGGCACUGCCCGGUAGCUAAAUGCGGAAGAGAUAAGUGCUGAAAGCAUCUAAGCACGAAACUUGCCCCGAGAUGAGUUCUCCCUGAGACUUUAAGUCUCCUGAAGGAACGUUGAAGACGACGACGUUGAUAGGCCGGGUGUGUAAGCGCAGCGAUGCGUUGAGCUAACCGGUACUAAUGAACCGUGAGGCUUAACCUU
rnacentral:rRNA from 1 species